AUUGAACGCUGGCGGCAGGCUUAACACAUGCAAGUCGAGCGAGCGGCGGACGGGUGAGUAAUGUCUGGGAAACUGCCUGAUGGAGGGGGAUAACUACUGGAAACGGUAGCUAAUACCGCAUACCAUCAGAUGUGCCCAGAUGGGAUUAGCUAGUAGGUGGGGUAAUGGCUCACCUAGGCGACGAUCCCUAGCUGGUCUGAGAGGAGGACCAGCCACAUGGGGACUAAUACACGGUCCAGACUCCAACGGGAGGCGGCAGUGGGGAAUAUUGCAAAAUGGGCGCAAGCCUGAUGCAGCCAUGCCGCGGGUGUGAGGAAGGCCUUCGGGUUGUAAAGCACGUUCAGCGAGGAGGCGUUACUCGAAGAAGAAGCACCGGCUAACUCCGUGCCAGCAGCCGCGGUAAUAC
rnacentral:rRNA from 1 species